rnacentral:rRNA from 1 species
UACGGGGGGGGCAAGCGUUGUUCGGAAUUACUGGGCGUAAAGGGUUCGUAGGUGGCUUGCUAAGUCAGACGUGAAAUCCCCAGGCUCAACCUGGGAACUGCAUUCGAGACUGCUUUGCUAGAGUAUGGGAGAGGGAAGUGGAAUUUCCGGUGUAGCGGUGAAAUGCGUAGAUAUCGGAAGGAACAUCAGUGGCGAAAGCGACUUCCUGGACCAAUACUGACGCUCAUGUGCGAAAGCGUGGGGAGCAAACAGG